AAUGUUAAUAUUGUCAUCUGCCGACAAGUUGAAAGAUAUGGAAGAUAAGUGUAACUCCGGGGAAUCGCACGGUGCAAAAACCAAAGAACCGGACUUUCUUUUAACAAGCAACACUUACAAAUCUAUUAAAGAAGACAGUUAUUAAACAAGGAAGAAAAAGAAGCUAUAGGCGAAGCGUAUAUACGCACCGAAAGAAUAAAAAAAUGAUGAUGCUGUGACAGAUGAAUAUCUAGAAAGUAGAGCGUCUUUUGUAGGACCAAGUCUUUCUGUAACAAUUAGAGUAUCUAAGCCUCCAAAAAUUAUCGGUAUUUUUCCUUCGAAUUUAUUUCCAUUUUAAACUAUUCAUUAACUUUUGUAAAUCAAAUAUACCUACGUUACAUAUUAGAUGUUGCCGACGGUUUGACAAACUUGGUUCUUCAAAAACGACUAGUCUACCCUAUGCAGGAUUUACAUGUCAUUCUAUAAUCCUUCUGGAAACACCGUCCGAUUUACGAAGAGAUACGACAAGACUUGCCACAGCCAAAGGUGCAUCAAUCGCUUGUGUAGAUGCCUCUCACAAGAGAAAGAAUGGUCAUUUUGGUCAAUCAAGGACCAAUGGGCCAGAUUUUCUUUCACCAAACACUCUCCUAUGUAUUAAAGAAAACAGUUCUUGAUCGAAAAGAAAAAGAGUUUAUACGCGAAGCGCGUGGCGUACCGGAAGUGUAAAGAAAUUGUGAGGCUGCGACAGAUGAAUGUCCAGAAAGUUGAUCGUCUUUUGUAGGACCAAGUCUUUCUGUAACAAUUGGAGCACUUAAGCUUGCAAAAAUUAUCGGUGUUGCCGGAGGUUUGACAAACUUGCUUUUUCAAAAGUGACGAACACAAUCAACCACUUGUAUGGCAAUGGUGUAAUGUAUAUUCGCAAUUGAAUUAUUUCAGGAUUUACAAAGAGAAACGGCAAGAUUUGCCAAAGAUGCAUCAACUCCUGUAGUGAUAUCGAUGCUUCUCAGAAAGAUUCUCCAUUUUUUUUUAUUCCUCUGGCACAUCACGCGUUUCGCAUAUAGCUUCUUUUCUUCUACGCAUAAUAACUCCGCUAGUGAGCAUAUAUAAUGACAAAAUGAAAUAGAUGAUAACCUUGAAUUGUAUACACGAGGAAUAGUCCCGCGUAGACACAGUAAUAACCGUAAGAGUAGAGUAGUCGGUGGAAAAGCAACGAUGUCAGAUACGCAUAAUUGUAAUUUAAAAAAAUGGGUGAAACCUAAUUGUCAUUCCAUUUUAUAUGUUCCUACCUUAUUUAGGUCGAGUUAAUUCGGGAAAAAUGUUUCUUCGUAUUCCUAUAUUGGCUGAUGACAUUAUUCCGGGUCCAUAACUUUAGUAAUGUCCAACAAUCAAUUUGGUAAUCAAACGCCGCGCGUUUGAAAGUUGAGUUUUUGUGGAAUAUUUUUCGAGAGGUUUUUUCGAAUUCGUGUAUUUGUUUAAAAGUUAUCACGCCUUAUAAAUGAGAUAGAACAAAGAAGAUGUAUUUUGAAAUUUUAUUACGAGGAAAAGAAUAAUGCCACUCCAACUCUUGAAAAAAUUUAGAAUCGAUGCGUUAUAAAUGGACAUCGCACAUGGUUAUAUCAAACGUUUCCAAUAUGGAAGAUAUGAUGUAGUGGUGGAAGACAUAGACUAGGAACCAACCAUCGGUCACAAAACAGUUCUACAUCAUUUGAAGAAUGCUGGAUGUAAAAAGAUAUCCAAUGUUCAUGUUCCAUAUGAUCAAAUAGUGAAGCGUUUAAUGGAUUUCUGUCUGCGAAUCGUUAUUAGGACCUAACGAAACCGAUGCACUCUUGAAACGGGCCAUUAUGUGCGAUAAUCUAUGAAAAGGAUCAUGAUCCAUGGAAGGAGAAUCAACCGUUGUCGCGCCGUUCAAACUAUUGAUCAUAAUCUCUUCUCUAAACAAUCGGAAAGUGAUUUGCUUUUGCAUUGAAAUACGAAGAAACCUUUUCCUCUAACUUAAUAUCUUGAUUAGUAAUGUCAUUGGUUGAUAUCAUUCCUUUAUGGAAAUUAACUCGAAUUAUUUCAGUAAUAUAGUCAAAGGUAUUUAUCUUGCUUAACAAUGUGAAUGAAUGACAUUACUGAUAGGAUCAUUAUAUUACAUAUAGAUUAUACACGU